CAUGUCUUUUUGAUUAUAAUUUAAAGUCUGACCUGCCCUAUGAAUAUUUAAAUGGCCGCGGUAUUUUGACCGUGCAAAGGUAGCAUAAUAAUUAGUUUCUUAAUUGGGAACUGGAAUGAAUGGUUGGACGAGAAAAAUACUGUCUCAAUUUAAUUUUAAUUAGAAUUUUAUUUUUAAGUUAAAAAGCUUAAAUGAUUUUAAAAGACGAGAAGACCCUAUAGAGUUUUAUAUUAUUAUAUAUUUUUAAAAAUUUAAGUAUAUUUGAUUUAGCAAUAUAUAAUAAUAUUUAGUUGGGGUGACUAAAAAAUUAAAAAAACUUUUUUUAUAUUAAAACAUUAAUAUAUGAGUAAGUGAUCCAUAUUUUAUGAUUAUAAGAUUAAAUUACCUUAGGGAUAACAGCGUAAUUUUUUUUGAGAGUUCUUAUCGAAAAAAAAGUUUGCGACC
rnacentral:rRNA from 1 species